UCCAUCCCUCCUGCUCGCCAGUGGUUCCUCCUCCCCUGCCUCCUCACGUCGCCCUCAAGUCCGAGGCAACGAGUUUGCUUCCUCUGCUCCGUUCAUGUCAUUGAGCUUUUUCCUUGGGCAUAGCACCACAUUUGCGGCAGCACACCGGAGUCAAUUUGGUUGACUAGCAAUAGAGCAAAGGUGAGAGUAAAAUCAGGUCUUCACCUAUGGAGGAGGUAGAUACUGACGGAGUGCAUAUGACCAGGUGUCCUCCAGGUUCUGCAUCAUCAGUGUGUACCUCUAGAUUCUGCAUCAUUAGUGAGCAACUUACCUAAGCAACCGAGCCCAAUCAACAAUUGGUAGAAGUAGUUAUGAGAUGAGGCAGAGGAGAGCAGAGAGGACCGGAGAAGGAGUUGCGGACCUUGCCAACAAGGCCGUGACCCUACAUCACUAAAAAAAAUGCGCCGUAUUUGUUUCUCAUGCUUUACCAUGGCAUGUUCUUAUUAGUUCAGGUUGGUCUCUCCGGUUCUUUUCGCCAAUGGCUUGAUGUACGCACUGGCAACCUCUUACUGGAAGGAUUCGGCAUGCCUCUGUUCGAGAGAUGGGAUAUGAAGAAAUGGCGUUCUGGUUGUCUUCAUGUCGCUGUUGUGCUACUGCUAGGCAUGAACAGAAUGGCCUCCUCUUAUUGCGAACCACAUUGAUGUUGGCUUCUGAUUUAUGCUGUAAUGGAUUAUUUACUAUGGACAAAUAUGGCAAUAUUCAUUUGGAGCACCGUUUCUUGAGGAUAUGUCUCUUCUACAGGGGGAGAUCCCCGGCCUCUGCAUCAGAACGAUGCAUACAUGAUAUCGGUACUUUUUAUAACUGAUCCAUGUUCUUGGAAUACUUUAUUUUAUUUCAUUAAUAAGCAAGGGUGGAUGGUGGCUUGCAGUGUGCUUGUACUAAAAAAGGUGUUCUGCCAUCCCAUGGAUUCUAGCACAGCUUGAAGCGGCCAAGUCAAGGAGGACCUAUAAAAUUAUUUGAUCGUCUCUCUCUCUCUCUCUCUCUCUCUCUCUCUCUCUAUAUAUAUAUAUAUAUAUAUAUAUAUAUAUAUAUAUAUAUAUAUAUAUAUGUGUUGUCUGGUGCAUGUAUGGCUGAGAAUAGGGAGAGAGAGCAAGUUUAAUUUUCCUUGGGCAUUCAAAUUCUUAUUUUGCUUUUCUCAGAUUUUUGGCUGGGUGUUUAAACAUACUUGCACACACUGGUUUCAGAUUUCAGUGUAAACUACAAAUAGGGGAAAAAUAUAGUGAUUUUUCCAAAUUAGAAAUAGGGAGAAGGGAAACUAUUGGUUAUUGUGUGCAUGUAUAACUAAUUGGAUUACUGGUUGAACGAGUGCAGACUUGAGAAAGAAGAGAUAGGGCCAAUAAAAUUAGGUGGGAGGUAUGCUGAUGGGUUCAUUUUAGCAUUACUAAUCGACCGCUUGGCAUCCUGAAGCUGAAAGAUUAGCGAGACUGACUAAAUUCUAAACAUGUUCCAUGUGAGAGAAAUAGCAUGUUGAUUUCAUCUUGAAAUAAUCAUAGUUGAGGGAUGAGGUUCGUAACCGAGGGUCAUGUGCAGAGCUGGAGGAAGAAGUUGCGAGGCUUGAAACUCUGUGAAGGGCUCAGGGACAGCAGUGAGGACAAUGCCUCUUUAGUUGUAAUUGUGAUACUCUUGAUGUGCAAUUAAACACUCCUGUGAUACUCCUUAUGCUAAAAUGUUGGUUGUUAGUACAGAGGUGGUGACAUUAUUUGGUUCUCUGGUAUUGAUUUCAUGAUUUGUGGUUAAUACAUGAUGUAAUACAAUCCACAUUGUAUUAUAUUUCCAGUUACAUCUUUUACUUACUCACUACUAACAUUCUUUCUAAUUUGCUUCUUGCGCCAUUGGC